GUUAUAGGGUCAAGCGAACAAGUGCAUGUGGUGGAUGCCUUGGCGAUCACAGGCGAUGAAGGACGCGGUAGCCUGCGAAAAGCUACGGGGAGCUGGCAAACGAGCUUUGAUCCGUAGAUGUCCGAAUGGGGAAACCCGGCCCUUUUGGGUCAUCCUGGACUGAAUACAUAGGUCCAGUGAAGCGAACGCGGUGAACUGAAACAUCUAAGUAACCGCAGGAAAAGAAAUCAACCGAGAUUCCCAAAGUAGUGGCGAGCGAAAUGGGAUGAGCCUUGCACUCUUUAUUUGUAUUGUUAGCCGAACGC
rnacentral:rRNA from 1 species